rnacentral:rRNA from 1 species
UACGUAGGGUGCAAGCGUUAAUCGGAAUUACUGGGCGUAAAGCGUGCGCAGGCGGUUUUGUAAGUCUGUCGUGAAAUCCCCGGGCUCAACCUGGGAAUUGCGAUGGAGACUGCAAGGCUAGAAUCUGGCAGAGGGGGGUAGAAUUCACGUGUGAGCAGUGAAAUGCGUAGAGAUGUGGAGGAACACCGAUGGCGAAGGCAGCCCCCUGGGUCAAGAUUGACGCUCAUGCACGAAAGGCGUGGGAGCAAACGA